GCCUGCGCGUGACGGGGGGCGAGGGACUUCGCCCGUUCUAUGCAGGGCCUUGGGGCUGCUGUUCUCUUGGGGGGUGGGGAGCUCGGGGCGGUGUACAAGGGGGACCCUCCAUGGUAUGCAGAGCAGACCCAGGGCGCAUACAGGGGCGACCAGCUAUGCAAAGAGCCUGUCUGGCGGAGGCCGGGCUUCAAAGCCGUAAAUCCCCCGCGCCCCGGCGUCCUGGUGCCGCGGGUGGGCCUUCCCAGGCCCUGGCGCACAAACUCCUAUUGGGGCCGCCCCCGGGUACCGGGGUCGGCCACUCCCCACCUCCUGGCUCUGCAUUGGCCAGGAGCCGAGUCGACGUUGUGGGACCCCGGGAGCCUGAGCGCCCCAAAUGCGGGGCCGCAGAGCCGGGCGGGGCCCCGAGUUGCCUCUGGGUCCGGCGCCCCAGGGCGCGGAGCCGCCGCUGCCUCUCCGCUGGGCCCCGCGGCCUCUUCUAAGGUGGGCGCUGAGACUGCGGGGGUGCAGCCGCCCCCGGGCAGCCAGGGUGAGUCCCCCGAGCUACCUUUCCUCCCAGCAGACAGCUUGGGGUCUGGGAGCAUGAACCAGGGCCCUUCGGCGCCCGCGGACGGCGAGAAGAAGGCCAAGGUCAUCCCUCAGCCGCGGUCUGCGAACAGUAUUGUACUCCCGGGCCGCCCGCCGACCCUGGACAAACCGCGGCUAGAAGGCCCCCAAGCUCCGAUGUCUGUCUGGAAAGGGUUCCCUGGGGCCCCACUCAACAUUGACCGGCUUAAGAAUGCCAAGAUCCUGGUGCAGAGAGCCAUCAAGCAGAAGAAAGUCUUCAUGAUCCAGGGCCGCUACCCCGUGAUCCGAGGGAUCCUGCGCCGUCGGGGCUGGGUGGAGAAGAAGAUUCCCCGUUUAACAGCAGCGCCAACAAUACAUCCCCCUAAAGGUUUUGACAGCUUUGGAUCUGGAGAUAAUGAUAUCCCUGAGGACUGUGAUGAAGAGGAUGAAGAAGAUGAUGAUGAAAGUCAACAGCCAGAUCCUGACGAUACAGAUGGCACUCAUGACCUUAUGUCCCGAAUGGUUCGAAAUGAGUUGCCCUAUUUCAUCUGGACCACCCGGAGGGAUGUGAUUGACUGCCGCUUCCUCUGCAAAGAGCAAAUUAUAAAUCAUUAUGCUCGGGCAGGCUCCUUCACCACUAAGGUUGGUCUGUGCCUCAACCUCCGGAACCUGCCCUGGUUUGAUGAGGCCAGUGCAGACUCCUUCUUCCCACGCUGCUACCGCCUGGGAGCCGAGGAUGAGAAACAGGCUUUCAUGGAGGACUUCUGGCUGACAGCCGCACGCAACGUUCUCAAGCUGGUGGUGAAGUCGUGGGACCCCUACUCAGAAGAGAAUGACCAGACAAAAUCAUCCCCAACUUUGUUGGAAAAGACCCUGCCAGAAUCACCCCCAGGCUCUCCAGGGGGUAGGCAGAGUACAAAACCAGAACUCAAGCAGGUAUCGUCGAAGCUGAUUGAAGAUGCGCUACAGGCCUGUGAGGGUUACCUCAGAAGUUUGGCCCAUGAGGAUAUUGACAAGACCAUAGAGUCUCCAGGGUACCUGACCCAGGCUGAUUGGACUUUAUUUCUCCAGCGCUACUACCAAGUGGUCCAUGAGGGGGCUGAGCUAAAGAAGGUUGACUCUCAGAUCCAGCGUUGUGAAGACAUCCUUCAGCAGCUCCGGGCAGUGGUGCCUCAACUUGACAUGGAAGGAGACAGAAAUAUCUGGAUCGUGAAGCCUGGAGCCAAGUCUAGAGGUCGAGGCAUUAUGUGCAUGGACCACCUGGGAGAGAUGUUAAAGCUGGUGGACUGUGACCCCAUGAUUGUAAAAGAUGGCAAGUGGGUGGUACAGAAGUAUAUUGAGCGACCCCUGCUCAUCUUUGGCACCAAGUUCGACUUGAGGCAGUGGUUCCUAGUGACUGACUGGAACCCACUAACUGUCUGGUUCUACCGGGACAGUUAUAUCCGCUUUUCCACCCAGCCCUUUUCCCUGAGGAACCUGGACAGUUCUGUGCAUCUUUGCAACAACUCAAUCCAGAAGCACUUCGAGAAUUCUAACACUCGUCACCCCAUGCUGCCCCCGGACAACAUGUGGUGCAGCCAGAAGUUCCAGGCUCACCUGCAGGAGGUAGGGGCACCUGAAGCUUGGGCAGAUGUCAUGGUUCCAGGCAUGAAGGCUGCUGUCAUCCAUGUACUGCAGACUUCUCAGGACACUGUGCAAUCCCGCAAAGGCAGCUUUGAGCUAUAUGGGGCUGACUUCAUAUUUGGGGAAGACUUCCAUCCCUGGCUGAUAGAAAUCAAUGCCAGUCCAACUAUGGCACCUUCCACGGCUGUUACCACCCGACUAUGUGCUGGGGUGCUGGCUGAUACAUUGCGUGUAGUCAUAGACCGUCGACAAGACCGAAACUGUGACACUGGUGCUUUUGAGCUUAUUUAUAAGCAGGCAGCUGUGGAGGUACCCCAUUAUGUGGGGAUCCGACUAAUGGUUGAAGGCUCCCCUGUGAAGAAGCCUCUGACUGUCCGGAGCCAAAGAGCGCCAUCCCGUCUCCUGGCAUGUCGAAACCUUAGGGAGGCUAAGGAAACUAAAGAGGCUGUGCCUAAGGAGGCUAAAGAGUCCAUACCUGAGGAGGCUAAAGAGUCCAUGCCUGAGGAGGCAAAAGAGGCUGUGCUUAGGGAGGCUAAGGAUUCUGUACUUGAGGAGAUUGAUUCCAUGCCUGUUGCUCUCAAGUCAUCAGGGCAUUCCCACCAUCAUGGGAAAGCUUUAGGAGGCAGGAAGAACCUGGGACCCAUUGAGAAAAUGGACUCCAUAAGCAUGGGAAAGAAGAGAGUCAACACCAAACAAUCCACAGGAACUGUCCAGGCCAGCUUCCAGAAAUGGAGCAUCCACAAUCCCAAGAUAACCCACCUGUUCAGUGCAUCACCAGCACCCAUUGUCAGUCAGGGAAGGCAGCUUCACCCUGUGAACAAACCUCAGCAGCUUCUGAAGAAUUCUGUGUCUCUAGACUUGGCUCCAAAAGGCUCUUGGCUGUUUCCAGAAAUCAAACCCUUCCUCAAAGGAUGAAGAUUUAGCACCUUUGAGGAUAUUCAAAAGAAUCUACCACAGGCCCUGAAUGCAAUUUCCAAAGAGGAGUUCCCACAGUGUGUUGAGUAAUGGCGUCUCCUUGGAAUAAGUGUAUAGCCUCCUAAGUGACUACUUUGAAGGGAACAACAUUCAUUUGGAUGCAUAAGUUCUGAGCCAGAGGGAUUACCCUGCUUCCUUAGUAAGCCUGUGCUGCCCAAUUCCCGCGUGUUCAAACCUCGUACCUUCCUUCUCAAAUUGCAG